UGUCUUUACAUUACCAAUCCAAUCCCCGCUCCCAGAUACGCUCAUAAAAAUAUUCUUCGUAAUUUGACUUAAAACAACACAGGUGCUACACUAGAAAUGAAAGCCGUCCAAUAAAAACACAACGCGUAUGUCGCUCCUCAAUCCGCAUAACCCCGAUUGUGUUACAGUGGAAGCAGGAGAAGCAGGGAGUAAGUGUCGAUCUGGUCCGGCUCUAGAGUUUCUGGUGUCAGAACAUUAUCUGCUCCGUGUCUGCACAUUCUCAAGGACAAAAUCUGCCAGGCGGAGAGUAAGCCAAUGAGACCGAAGCAUGGUGAGCCUAGUUUACUUUCUCUCUCCCUUCCCUCUGGACAGCCACCGCAGCCUGGGGGCAGGAGUGCAGCUGGGGUGAAGCAGAGAGAGGCCCCGGGCAGCGAUAAUAACCCGAAAUAACAAAAACAAGUGUUUUAAGGAUGUGAAACCCAAUUCCGGGUGGGAUUGAUCCUUGUCUGGCCACAAAGGGGAUAAGACCAGAAGGAGAAGAUAAGAGAAGACGCUGAGUGGUCAGCGAUACAGUUGAACCAUCAACUUCUACCGAAGACAGCAGAAAGUGACUGGAUUCCCUGGUCCCGCUGAAGAAAAACAUCGCCACAUUAUUAAUUCUCAAAGAAAUCCAGCGUUUUGCAUGAAUGACAGAAUGUAAAAUCUUGGUUUCACCUGACAAGAGAAUAUUUUCUUUCUAUUUUAGCUUGCUUUCAUUUAACAGUUCUCCAUGCUCUUCAAGCCUUCAGAUACUGUUUUAUAACCCAAUUAGCUUCAAACAUAUUUACAACUACAGUAAACUGAUAACCUGUGUGGUGUGCUUCUUUGUCUUUGUCUUCAUUAUACUGUUUGUAAUUAUGUCACUACUGAAAGGAAAUGGUUGCACUGGAUUUUAUUUAGGGGUAUCAAAUAAACUGAACACAAAUGC